UAUAUGAACAGGUUUAUAACAGGUUUAUAACAGGUUUAUAACAGGUUUAUAACAGGUUUGUAUUGACUAUAUGAACAGGUUUAUAACAGGUUGUAUUGACUAUAUGAACAGGUUUAUAACAGGUUGUAUUGACUAUAUGAACAGGUUUAUAACAGGUUUGUAUUGACUAUAUGAACAGGUUUAUAGCAGGUUUGUAUUGACUAUAUGAACAGGUUUAUAACAGGUUGUAUUGACUAUAUGAACAGGUUUAUAACAGGUUUAUAACAGGUUUAUAACAGGUUUAUAACAGGUUUAUAACAGGUUUGUAUUGACUAUAUGAACAGGUUUAUAACAG